GACGAACCGUGCAAACGUUGUUCGGAAUCACUGGGCUUAAAGGGCGCGUAGGCGGGCCAGCCAGUCUGUGGUGAAAGCCCCCGGCUUAACCGGGGAAGUGCCGUGGAUACUGCUGGCCUCGAGGAGGAUAGGGGCAUCUGGAACGGUCGGUGGAGCGGUGAAAUGCGUUGAUAUCGACCGGAACUCCGGUGGCGAAGGCGAGGUGCUGGGUCCUUUCUGACGCUGAUGCGCGAAAGCCAGGGGUGCAAACGGG
rnacentral:rRNA from 1 species